CCUUCCGUGGCUCAUUCAGCAGAGCGCUCGACCGAUAAUCGAGAGGUAGCGGGUGCGACUCCUGCCGGAAGGACCA
rnacentral:tRNA from 1 species